GUGUUCCACUCAUGCAUCUUCAGCUCAGCACAUAUACUAAUAUUGGAACAAUACAGAGAAGAUUAGCAUGGCCCCUGUGCAAGGAUGACAUGCUUUUUUUUUAAAUAUUAAAAAAAAAA
rnacentral:snRNA from 1 species